ACUGGCAAGGCCAGCAUUUUCUCUCCUCAUUGCUUUUGAAUGGAGUGGCUUACUACAUCUUCACAGAGGGCAGUUAAGAGUCAACCAUAUUGCUGUGCAGCUGGACUGAAGUGCAAGGAUCACAGCAAUCCCUUCACGAAGAACAUCAAUUAACCAAAUGCUGCCAGACCUGCCAAGCUUUUUCAGCAAUUUCUGUUUUUGUUAAUAAUUCAAUGAUCCAGAAGGAGUGCAAGAUAUUAGAAAAAUACAAACGUACUGCCCCUAUUCAAGAAAGACGGAAAACCAAAAUUAUAG